rnacentral:lncRNA from 9 species
UUUUUUUUUUUUUUUUUUUUUUUUCUUUUUACAGCUGCACCUGGGCACAUGGAAAUCCCCAGGCUAGGGGUCCCGGGCAGGCUUACACCACAGCCACAGCAACAGGAUCCAAACAUAUGUAUGACCUAUGCGGCAGCUUGUGGCAACCCUGUUUUUUAACCCACUUAGCGAGGCCAGGAAUUGAACCUGCAUCCUCAAGGAGACUACAUCAUGUUCUUAACCCUCCGAGCCACAACAGGAACUCCAAUAACAGCUGAUCACAGUGGAUCAGGGAUGUUCAGCCUUGUGAGGGAGACUCUGAAGGCUGCAAGGCAUUGCUGUCAUGAGUAGCUAUGUGCCCUUAUAUAAGGGUUGUAGACAUGGGAGUGGCACGCGGAUACAGAUCCUGGCGGUAGAAAGAAUCUAUUGGAACAAACCUGCUCCAGCGUCCAUUCUCUUGAACUUGCUCUAUACCUACAAGCUCUGGCACAGAUGAAUUUAUUUCUUGAGUUUCUCCCCUCUAAGGAAUCCUGUGAAAGUAGCAGAGGCCCUAUCUUAGGAUAGCUUCUCUCUUAGUCUUACAUUCUGCUUUCUCUGCAAUGCAGUUGAUGGCUGGGGUUUCAUAAAUCAACUGGGAGUUCAGUGGUAUGAAAAUAAAUGCCAUACCAAAUGCUUUCAGAACAGAAUUUAGUUACAUCCCUUGUGGCGCCAUCAAAAAUCCUGUCACCAACAGAAAUUCUAGGUCUGUUUGUUUAAGGAUAUAAUGGGCCCGUCUGUGUAUCAUACAUGUAAAUAGGCAGCAAGGUACCCUAAUACAGACUGCUGUAUCAUUGGCACUCUAUCUAAUGCACCAUUAUAUCCGGCCCUAUGACUGUGUGAGAUUAGAAUCUUCUGUAAAAACAGUGAAAAUUUCAUACAAUUUAACCCUCAUAUAACGUAGUAAUUUAUAAAAUGGGAAUUACACUUGUUUGCACUGGUAAACAUAAUAAGGGGAGUCCUCCAUGUUACAUAAAAAUGAAAACUAACAGAAUUUAAAAGUAUCUAAAUUGGGAGGGAUUUUUAUAAUCAUCUAGGCAAUAACAAUUUCCAUUUUAAUUUUUUUUCCAGCCAUGAUUAAAUCCUAUCAAGAACAGUGACAUCACAAGUUAGUAAGAAAGCUUACAGAGUUUCCAUUAUUAUUUCAAUAAUAUUUGAAUCAUUACCUCUCUCGUUGGAUGUGAAUCCAACAGGACUUUCCCCUACUACAUAGGAGUUUUGUACCCAGAAAUUCUCAAUAUAGCCAAAUCUGGAACAAAAACUCUAAAUAUAAAGUCUUUUCCUUGUUCUUAAUAAUACUCCUUUAGAUUUCAAUAUUUUAGAUCAGACUAAAGAAUUGCCUUUUAUUUCUUACCAGGUAAGACACAUGCCUAAGAAAAAACAACCUGUCAAAAUUGGAUGAACCAUGUUACUCAAGCAAAGGACCAGGCCAUUGCCCAGGGAUGGUGAUUAUAGGUUGCAGUAUAGAAAAUUAAUAUUUGCGAAGCAAUGGAAAAUUUGCUAUGCUAAGCUGUCCUAACAGUAGAUUUUAUGAUUAGAAGAUGUUGUAGUUUAAUGGACAAAUUUUGGACUUGGUGUUAAAAAGUCAUAAAUUAAUUUUCUAAUUUGGCAUCUAUCUUGCUGGUGAUCAUGUACAGGGCACUUAAUUGCUUUGCUCCAUCACCUACGGAAAUAUGACCACUCUGAUUUUUAAAGGACCAUUUAAAUUACAUAUACAACAAAUACAUUUAUGUGGAGAUACAAAGGGAAAAUUAUAAAACAAAAUAUCCACCUGCACAUCAUCUAGGUCACGUCUUACUUUUAGGAAUAUUUAAUCUUCCUAUGCCUGCUCUUUUUUUUUCUCUUAAAAUGGAUGCUGUAAUAGUAUUUACAUCUUUGACUUGCUAGGAGGAAUAACUAGACAAUGCUUAUAAAUCACUUAGCACAGUAUUUGACACCUAAUAAUGCUUAGCGAAUAUUACUUUUAUGAUUAUUAUUUAUUACUUAAAAUGCCCAGCAAAAGAUGAAACUUUUUCUAAUGUUGAGGAUAAUUUCCAAGAUAAAACAAUGGCCUUUGACUACAAUUUGAUUGUGAAGUAAAAAAAGAAAAAAAAAUGAGCCAUGGAAUAAUCCUUGGAAAAAGAGUAACAAGAAGCAAAUGGCUUAUUUGGCUAUAUAAAAUUAUAUUUACAUAAAAAUUCUUUACAAUUGCUUUUCCACUACACAGCUUUUCUCCGAAGUCUCAUAUUUUUCUCUGAGACCUCUUAACAGAGCUGCCAAAUAGUAACAGUAGUUUGAAAUGCUGUUUUGAAAACUAUAAAUAAUGUAGGCUCCAGGGGGGAAAUAAAGGGUACAAUUUACCUGUCUGUUCUGAUUAGAGGUGCUAAUUGAACGUGAAGGUAUCUGUGCAUAAAAAUGUUACAUUCCAAUGAGAGGGGAAAAAAUACAUUUUUAAAAACUUACUCUAGAUUCAUAAAGGCAAAUGAAAUUUUAAAAGCCUUCUAGUACAAAGCUUUUAUUUAAGGUUUGAGUACUUUCUGGAACAUUCCUGCUGCUAUAGCUGGUCAUUCAGAUUAUAUUUGCAUGCCAAUGACUGGAAAUGUUUCACUUCCUAAAUCAUGCCAUGCUAUAGCUGAGGAAUAGGGGAGCCAUGGAAGAAGCACAGCUCUUUGGACUGGCAUACUCUGGGUUUGUAUUCUGGCUCUAAGCAAUGCGUAUUGAGUGUCCUUCAUAAAAACAGUCGUGCUAAGACUCAUUAUGUGUAAGAUAGUGACCAUCUCUGCCUCUGACAGUUUUCUGUGUUAACUUGACUAAACCAGUUAUUAUUUAUUUCUCUGUUUGUUUGUUUUUGUUUAUUAUGGCCGUACUCACUGCAUAUGGAAGUUCCCAGGCAGCUUUUGAAGAUGUGUGCUUGAUUUUCUGUAGUAAGUCUUCCAGGGAACAGACAAAUUUGGGUAAACUAAUUUUUAAGUGGAUGAUGCCUAGUUAAUGAUGUUUUUGGCUAAAGAUAAAUAAAAUUUUAAACUACGAAAAGAUCAAUCUGUGAAGUUAUCUGAGUAAGGAAUGAAAAAUCUUAUAAGACGGAUGUUCAAAGUCAUGUAGGGGAACUUGGUGACAUAUAACCAUCAGAGUUUGCAUGACAUAUCGAAGAAGAUAAAACACCACCUUCUAGGUUUGAAGGUUACUGCAUUCAUUGAUGUAGGUGGUCUCAUAUGAAAGUCAAUGUGCAGGAAACCUGGGGUCCUAGAUUAUAUCUCUGGCCUUAUCAAUGAGUCCAUUUUGAAUAUAAGAAGAUUCUCUUAGUUGCCUAAAAUAAAACCAAAGUGAUAUUUUUUCCCAGGAUGUUUUUCCCAUUUGCAAAAUAACAUAUCAAAUUGACGCAAGAUAUGAAGGAAACUCAUAUUAUUAUAUUUUUAAUCAACUGCCCUUACAAACAGAAUAUAAAGUACAUGAGGUCAGAACUAUAUAACUACUGAACAUACUUUUUUUCCAGCUGUCAAAGUAAAACUUUGGGCAUUUGACCUCCAUUUUUGGAAAAAGCAAUUAGCACUGAUUACUGUAUUCUUCAAUUAUGCAUAAUCUACAUGGAAGAAUGCUCUUUGAAUCCAGAGUUUGGUGUACAAGUCCUGGUUUCAUCUACUCACUUAACGCAUCCAGAGAGUAAUUCAGUGGCUGUACAAAAAGUACCUGCACUUCUCAGAAGGUACCCUGCUCUUCCCAGCCCCUCUAUUUCUGCACAGCUAAAGCCUCUCUUUCCCUUCUGUCGUGGGAAACUCCCACACAUCCUUCAGUUCCAGUUCAGAGUCCACUUUUUCCUCCAUUCUAGAUUUUUUUAAAAGCAGAGUUAAGCAUGUCCAUCUCUUGAGAGUGCCAAGAUCAUACCUCUGUUUUCCUCCUACAACAAUUAUUUACAGGUUUAUUCUUUACUUAACUGUGGCCCCAGAGGACUGGGACAUGGAGCAAUUCAUCUCUCAGUCCAUUGUGUCCAGCAUAAAGAAGGUCUUUAUUAAAGACUGUUCCAGCAAGUUCAUGGAUAAACUUCCAUCACUUUUUUUUUAAAUAGGAUUUUAAGCUCCCUGAGUAUGUAAAUCUCAUACAGAUUCAAUAUAUCUUACCUUUACACAAACCAGAUCUGUUCUAAUGUUCAUUUAGAAUGUCACAUCUGUCACGAAUGCCCGUUUAUACUUUUGAGGAUGUUUUCUGUUUUCAUUUGAACUUCUCCUCCAAAUUACUUUGGGGGGGAAUAUUAUAAACAAAGUAGCUGCUCUCAAGCUCAAUAUUACAACCUGAAGUUUGACAGCAAAGCAAGUUUUCUGAACUUAAAAACUGUCUUUUACACUUUUUUUUUUCAAAAUUUCUUUCCAUUAUGGUUUAAUCAUAGGACACUGAAUAUCAUUCUCUGUGCUAUACAUAGGCUCUGGCUGAUUAUCCCCCUCAUGUAUAAUCUCCUAACCCCAACUUCCCAUUCCAUCCUUUCCCCAAACCCCUCCCCCUUGGCAACCUCAAGUUUGCUCUCUGUCAGAACUGCAUUUUUCAUCAAUAAUUUCUCCCACCAAACAGCCAUCUGAUAUUCCAAGAGUAUUCCCAGAUGUACAACCAUCCACUGCACUGGAGUAUUUUUUUCUCCAUUCAUGAGCACAUUCACCAAUCUAUCUAUCUACGUCGCCAACAACUGCUGUGUAAACACUCAGAGCCUACCAGGCUCUGAGCUCAGGGCUGAAGAUCCAGUGAUGAAAAAGGCAGAGGACUUGCCCCCACACAGCACACAACACACAGAAGAGAGGCAGGCUGGUGACAAGCACUGCAGCAAAAGAUGACACAACGAGUUAAGCGCCACCAGGGAAACGUGCCAGGUACAAUGGGCGAAAUGCAGGAAAGCAGGGACUCAGAGAUGUAAAGAAAGAAAGAUGUGAAAGUACUUCGUAUGCCAUACCUCUCAGGGUCUGAAGAAACCCUGGUGUCACCCCAGAUCAUCCUUUGCACUGACUUCAGCCAAGGAACAGGAACAGCCUCCUAACCUCUCCACAGUAUGUCUC